rnacentral:rRNA from 1 species
GACGAACGCUAGCGGCAGGCCUAAUACAUGCAAGUCGAACGGUAAGGUCUCUUCGGAGAUACACGAGUGGCGCACGGGUGCGUAACACGUAUGCAACCUACCCUUCAGAGGGGGAUAGCCAGUGGAAACGCUGAAUAAUACCCCAUAUACUCUUAGUUUCACCUGGAACAGAGAGGAAAGCUCCGGCGCUGAGGGAUGGGCAUGCGGCCCAUUAGUUAGUUGGUGAGGUAACGGCUCACCAAGACAUCGAUGGGUAGCUGGUCUGAGAGGAUGAUCAGCCACACGGGCACUGAGACACGGGCCCG